UAGAAUCCGCAUCCGUGAGUUUCUGUUUUAAAAAAUCAUAUCUCGUUUCCCAGUGAUAAUUUAAAGUUUUCUGUUGCAUAUUCUUGUUGCCAAUAGGCUAAUGCUUAUUGGCAAAUGGAGGCAACUCUUAAUAUUAGAUAUUUCGCGAAGUGACUAAAACACGCAUCCUGCACUGCGGAUAAAAGGUAAGCGCUUUAUCGAUUUCUUUUGUUUUGUCACAUCAGAUACAUAUUUGUAUGCAUUUCUUCAAAAACAGUGUUUCUAAAAGUAUAAUUCCAUGUUUAACUUUCCUAAAAGCAUAAAAUUCUAAAGAAAGAAAUUAUUGAUUAAAAAUAUUACAAGCCACUUAAUUGGAGGGUGGGUUGGUUGCUCUAUUCGAUACUAGAUGGCGUUGUAGGCAGACUGCGACGGUAAAACAGUCCCCUCGUUCUGUCAAGCUCGGAGGGAGCUUUCAUUCAAAAAGCUUUUGUAAUAGAGCACAGACGAAAAAUUUUGAAUUGCUUUUUGAAACACUGUCUUUAUGUUUUUUUAUUAUUUUGCCGUCUGAUCCUGUGCCGAGUGUUUGCUGUAAUUUGAUGGCGCCGAGAGCUGUCGCGGCUGUGGGAAACAUCGCGUCUAAAAAUGUGUUAAGAUGGGUGGAGUUCGGCGCGGUUGGCGGCGUUUGCUUAAGAGGAGGAUCGAUCUCAAUGGACACAGAGAAGUUUUCUUAUAAUUUUAUUUCAUAGA